CACGUAGGGUGCGAGCGUUGUCCGGAAUUAUUGGGCGUAAAGAGCUCGUAGGCGGUGUGUCACGUCGUUCGUGAAAACCUGCAGCUUAACUGUGGGCGUGCGGUCGAUACGGGCAUCACUGGAGUUCGGCAGGGGAGACUGGAAUUCCUGGUGUAGCGGUGAAAUGCGCAGAUAUCAGGAAGAACACCAAUGGCGAAGGCAGCUCUCUGGGACGGUACUGACACUGGAGACGCGAAAGCGUGGGGAGCGAACAGG
rnacentral:rRNA from 1 species